rnacentral:rRNA from 1 species
AGUACUCGAGUGGCGAACGGGUGAGUAACACGUGGGUGAUCUGCCCUGCACUUCGGGAUAAGCCUGGGAAACUGGGUCUAAUACCGGAUAGGACCGCACUUUGGUGUGUGUGGUGGAAAGGUUUUUCUGGUGUGGGAUGAGCUCGCGGCCUAUCAGUUUGUUGGUGGGGUAAUGGCCUACCAAGACGGCGACGGGUAGCCGGCCUGAGAGGGUGGACGGUCACAUUGGGACUGAGAUACGGCCCAG